GGGGGCGACUGGUUUCGACAUGGUAAGUUGAAUCCGAAGAGCAAGUCGUGGUCUCCUCGCCACGCUAAACAGGGGUACCGUCAAGUUAAUUGGCAAAUCUAACACUCAGAGCGCUCCUGCGCUCGCUAUGGCUGCUUAAUUAAAGCCUAGCUGUCGACCUGGUGAAUUUCCCCGCCACUGGGAAGGCAUUAUUUUAGGGGAACGCUCUUUGGCACGUAGUUGGUAUGGCCAAAGCUAAGAUCGAACCAGCUAGGACGUAUCUCGCCUGUCAAUGGGCAGGAUGCUUCCGAAGCUAAUACAUUGACUAAGCUUGUAGCGCUUCGAGGACGAUUUAGUAUGGACCGGAGUUCGAUUCUCCGCGCCUCCACCA
rnacentral:tmRNA from 1 species